GGACGAACGGCUGGCGGCAACGCCUAACACAUGCAAGUCGAACGGUGUAUUGGAGCUUGCUCUGAUAACAUAGUGGCGGACGGGUGAGUAACACGUGAGCAACCUGCCUCUGAGAGAGGGAUAGCUUCUGGAAACGGAUGGUAAUACCUCAUAACAUAACGAAACCGCAUGAUUUUGUUAUCAAAGAUUUAUCACUCAGAGAUGGGCUCGCGUCUGAUUAGGUAGUUGGUGAGGUAACGGCUCACCAAGCCGACGAUCAGUAGCCGGACUGAGAGGUUGAACGGCCACAUUGGGACUGAGAUACGGCCCAGACUCCUACGGGAGGCAGCAGUGAGGGAUAUUGCACAAUGGAGGAAACUCUGAUGCAGCGAUGCCGCGUGGAGGAAGAAGGUUUUCGGAUUGUAAACUCCUGUUUCGAGGGACGAUAAUGACGGUACCUCGGGAGGAAGCUCCGGCUAACUACGUGCCAGCCGCUGC
rnacentral:rRNA from 1 species